CUUCCAGUAGCACCUUAGAGACCAACUACAUUUGUUAUUGGUAUGAGCUUUCGUGUGCAUGCACACUUCUUCAGAUACGAAAGCUCAUACCAAUAACAAACUUAGUUGGUCUGUAAGGUGCUACUGGAAG